rnacentral:rRNA from 1 species
AUUCUGCCCUAUGAUUAUUUAAAUGGCUGCAGUAUUCUGACUGUGCAAAGGUAGCAUAAUAAUUAGUCUUUUAAUUGGAGACUUGUAUGAAUGAAUAUAUGAAGGAUUUGUUUUAUUAAUUUUAAAAUUAAAAUUUGAUUUUUUAGUUAAAAAGCUUAAUUGAUUUUUUGGGACGAUAAGACCCUAUAGAACUUAAAAUUUUAACAUAUAUUUAAAUUUUUAGUUUAAUAUUAAAUUUUAUACUUGUUAUAUUUUUUUGUUGGGGUGACAAAUAAAUUUUUUAACUUUAUUUUUUUUAUUCAUUGUUUUAUGUAAUUUUGAUCCAUUAAUGUGAUUAUAAGAUUUAGUUACCUUAGGGAUAACAGCGUGAUUUUAAUGGGGAGUUCUUAUCUAUAUUAAAGUUUGCGACCUCGAUGUUGAAUUAAGAUAAUAGUGAGGGGUAG